AGCCUCGACAAAGUGACAACGAGGGAGCCGAGCCGCUCAUGUCACGGCGAAGGCCACGUCCGGCGGGUCCCGUUCGGGACCGUGACCUGCCGGGUCCCUCCGGGGU
rfam:Chloroflexi bacterium GWC2_73_18 gwc2_scaffold_7722, whole genome shotgun sequence.